UCUGGUAGAUCUCAGAUGAAUUCCUUUCUGGGAAUCCCUCAGUCAUAGCAUGCAGUCUCAACCAGGGUUUACCCUCGCUGGCUGAGGACAGCCUGAAUUCACUUACUUGUCAAGGCAAGAAUACAAAGGCCUGGACCAUUUGCAUCAAUUUCCGAUGCUGACUCUGCAGGACCAUUCCAGCUCCAGAGAGUCCCACAAGCUUGGUCAAGGCCUCUGCUGCAACUGUGUCUCACUUUUCCCUCAUUCAAUCCUGAAUCCUCGCUCUCUCACAGGUGAUUUUCCCAGAGCUCCACUCAAUAAACCUCUGCCUCAGAGGUGAACCCCUGCCUCAUUCUGUUACCCAGGGAAUCAUCCCUUAAACUUCUGGUGACUCUGAACUGUUUAUAAAUCCCUGGACAUCCCAUUCUCUUUCAUUCUGCCUGAUAUUGUUUCCUUUACCUGACUACAUCCUUCAAUCGAUAUAUCUAGAUAACAUCUACAUAAUCUAGAUCUCAAUACUUACCUCAAAUACUGUCUCUUCCAGAGGGUCUUUGAGGAGGGCUGCAUGCUCCUAAUUUGUGCCUCUGCAGUAAUUUGUUCCUCACUCUAUCAAAGACAUAUCAUAUUACAUUGAAGUAAUCUGUCUCCUCAACUAGCCUGGAUGUCAUAAUGCCCAGGGCUUGCGUCUGAUUAAUUGUAUGUCAUUUAUAUGCCCUUCCUUGGAGAAGACACUCAGUAAUCCUAUAUUAAUCUCUUUUUUGAGGCUUGAAAAGUGGAGUACGGCUUCUGCAUUUCUAUACAACAUUAAGUUUCAAAGGACAGAUGAAAGCAGAAGAGCCAUAGAAGAAGGCUCUAGGUGCUCAGUUACUGCUACAUCUUUACCAUCCUGCACGGUACACUCAUUAUGUUAAACCUUGAUUGAAAAUAUGACAUCAUUGCAUAAUCUAUAUUUCUUUAUGUUUGAUCUAAUUUUUCCAGAAUUCCUUUUUUUUUCCCCCCAAGAUGGAGUCUUCUUCUGUCACCCAGGCUGGAGUGCAGUGGCGCAAUCUCAGCUCACUGCAACCUCUGCUUCCUGGGUUCAAGCAAUUCUCCUAUCUCAGCCUCCUGAGCAGCUAGGAUUACAGGGACUCGCCACUGUGCCUGGCUAAUUUUUUUGUAUUUUUAGUAGAGACAAGGUUUCACCAUGUUGUCCAGGCUGGUCUCGAACUCCUGACCUCGUGAUCGGCCUGCCUCAGCCUCCCAAAGUGCUGGAAUUACAGACGUGAGCCAGCGCACCCAGGCCAGAGUUCAUCUUUAGACAAAAUGUCAAGUGAAAAAUCCACAUAUCGAUUCUGGCUAUUGUGAAGAAAUAGGCUUUGUGAACGUCAGUUUGAAAACUAUGAUCAUGUUUUUUAUCUGGGUAUUCAGACAGAAGAAUAAUGAAGAUUAUACCUCUUUAUUGUACUCCUGUCUACAGAAUCACAGAAGAACAGAUAAAAUGCGACAUUAAGGCAUAAGCCAUAUUUCAUGUUUAUCCCUGUAUCCCGAAUACCGAAUUCCAUAUCUGGUCUAUGUUAGAUAAUUAAUAAGUAAAUGUUGAUUAUUAUAACAUGUGAUAAAUGGGCAGCUUUAUAAAACAAAUAGACUCUUACCUUCUAGCCAACGUUGGUUAAAGAUAUAUAUAGCUGUAUAGAAAGAAAUGCAUGAAUCUGACAGAAAAUAAUUCAAACAUGAACACAUUUCUUGAUGGAGAUUAUUCAAGUUUUAUACAAUAGUACCAGUGAACGAUGUCUGAACCUCGUUAUAUUUAGUUAUAUUAAAGAAAAAGCUGUUACAUUAAAGAAAAUACUGAGCUAUCACUUUUUCAUUUUAUCCAAGGAAUAUGUGGCAUUUUUCAUGCCUCAUAUUGAAAGAAAUUACUUGCUUUCUACAUUUAUUCUCUAUUAGCAUUUUGCCAUUUGGGGUAACAUUAUCAUUUUGAUGAAGAUAAGCAUUUCAUGUAGGAACAUUUAAACAAGUUGAAUUGCAGUCCAUGUAAAAAUUAUACUUGUUUGCUUCAUGAAUACUUAAUAAUUACUUAAUUAUAAAAAACAAGCCCCAAUGUCUUUUAUUAUGUUAAGGUAGAGAAACUAGCAGAUUUUAGACCGUAUGCUUAAGGGUUAUAAUCAUUCUUAUUGUUCUUUCACUCUUUUCCACUAUAGUCUAUCACCUGUCAAAUUCUAUUUGGAAUACAGGGAUUUUUUCAUUGUUGUUGAGAAGAAAUUAAAAACAGAUUUGUUUAGCUUACUAUUCUACUUCCAGUGACUAAAAUUGGUAUCACUGUAUUUGACAAUGAUGAUGUGAUUUCUGCUGUCUUUGAGGAAUUUCAGCUCACACAAUUUGGCAUUGCAGAACCAGGCCCUACUAAGAGGAUCUCAUUCACUGAAAAAUAAUUAAGGAGGAAAUUUCAACAAAACAACCAGUGUUGUAUGCUUAAACACAUUUAUAGGAAGACAAUAAUAUUGUUCUGUGCUAACAGUUGCUUGAUUUCUGGUCUUUCAGGGAAAAAAAAAUGACAAAUAGUUUUUCUAUGUAGUUAGAGGGGUCACUUUGCUCAAUUUAG
rnacentral:lncRNA from 10 species